rnacentral:rRNA from 1 species
GAGACAGCAGUAGCCGCGGGAAUACAGAGGGUGCGAGCGUUAAUCGGAUUUACUGGGCGUAAAGCGUGCGUAGGCGGCUUUUUAAGUCGGAUGUGAAAUCCCUGAGCUUAACUUAGGAAUUGCAUUCGAUACUGGGAAGCUAGAGUAUGGGAGAUGAUGGUAGAAUUCCAGGUGUAGCGGUGAAAUGCGUAGAGAUCUGGAGGAAUACCGAUGGCGAAGGCAGCCAUCUGGCCUAAUACUGACGCUGAGGUACGAAAGCAUGGGGAGCAAACAGGAUUAGAUACCCCCGUAGUCCCUGUCUCUUAUAC